GAUGAACGCUGGCGGCGUGCUUAACACAUGCAAGUCGAACGGGAAAUAUUUCAUUGAGACUUCGGUGGAUUUGAUCUAUUUCUAGUGGCGGACGGGUGAGUAACGCGUGGGUAACCUGCCUUAUACAGGGAGAUAACAGUCAGAAAUGGCUGCUAAUACCGCAUAAGCGCACAGAGCUGCAUGGCUCAGUGUGAAAAACUCCGGUGGUAUAAGAUGGACCCGCGUUGGAUUAGCUGGUUGGUGGGGUAACGGCCCACCAAGGCGACGAUCCAUAGCCGGCCUGAGAGGGUGAACGGCCACAUUGGGACUGAGACACGGCCCAGACUCCUACGGGAGGCAGCAGUGGGGAAUAUUGCACAAUGGGGGAAACCCUGAUGCAGCGACGCCGCGUGAAGGAAGAAGUAUCUCGGUAUGUAAACUUCUAUCAGCAGGGAAGAUAGUGACGGUAC
rnacentral:rRNA from 1 species